GCAGUGGUGGUACAGCAGUAGAACUCUCACUUCCAUGUGAGAAACCUGAGUUUGAUUCCUGGCCAAUGCA
rnacentral:tRNA from 1 species